rnacentral:rRNA from 1 species
GACGAACGCUGGCGGCGUGCUUAACACAUGCAAGUCGAACGGAAAGGCCCUGCUUUUGUGGGGUGCUCGAGUGGCGAACGGGUGCGUAACACGUGAGUAACCUGCCCUUGACUUUGGGAUAACUUCAGGAAACUGGGGCUAAUACCGGAUAGGAGCUCCUGCUGCAGGGUGGGGGUUGGAACGUUGCGGCGGUUGGGGAUGGACUCGCGGCUUAUCAGCUUGUUGGUGGGGGAGUGGCUUACCAAGGCUGUGACGGGUAGCCGGCCUGAGAGGGUGAACGGCCACAUUGGGACUGAGAGACGGCGCAGACGCCUACGGGAGGCAGCAGUGGGGAAUAUUGCACAAUGGGCGGAAGCCUGAUGCAGCAACGCCGCGUGCGUGAUGACGGCCUUCUGGUUGUAAACCGCUUUCGCCUGUGACGAAGCGUGAGUGACGGUAAUGGGUAAAGAAGCACCGGCUAACUACGUG